AUUGAGUUUAUUCUUGCGGGAAUUUAGGAGCCAUCAGUGAGAUACCACUCUGGUAAUGUUAGAUUUCUAACUUUGUAUCAUGAUCUGGUCAAAGAACAGUUUCAGGCGGGCAGUUUGACUGGGGCGGUCGCCUCCCAAAUGGUAACGGAGGCGUACAAAGGUUUCCUCUGAACGUGUAGAAAUCGUAUCUAGAGUGUAAAGGCAUAAGGAAGCUUGACUGUGAGACCUACAAGUCGAGCAGGGACGAAAGUCGGUCUUAGUGAUCUGACGGUGCUGAGUGGAAAGGCCGUCACUCAACGGAUAAAAGUUACUCUAGGGAUAACAGGCUGAA
rnacentral:rRNA from 1 species